CCUACGGGAGGCAGCAGUGGGGGAUAUUGCACAAUGGGGGAAACCCUGAUGCAGCAACGCCGCGUGAGUGAAGAAGUAUUUCGGUAUGUAAAGCUCUAUCAGCAGGGACGAAAAAAGACGGUACCUGACUAAGAAGCCCCCGCUAACUACAGGCAGGCAACCGCGGAAUUACGUAGGGGGCAAAGGUUAUCCGGAUGUACUUGGUGUAAAGGGAGGGUGGACGGCAAUACAAGUCGAAAGGGAAAUACCCGGGCUCAACCCGGGAACUGCUUGGGAAACGGUAUGGCUAGAGUGCUGGAGAGGUAAGCGGAAUUCCUAGUGUAGCGGUGAAAUGCGUAGAGAUUAGGAGGAACACCAGUGGCGAAGGCGGCUUACUGGACAGUAACUGACGUUGAGGCUCGAAAGCGUGGGGAGCAAACAGGAUUAGAUACCCCAGUAGUC
rnacentral:rRNA from 1 species